rnacentral:lncRNA from 1 species
UCCAGCUAUUUGGAUUGUACAUGUGACAACUGGGCAGGAGCAGCCAUUAAUGAUCAUGAAGUGGAAGUCCCAUGAUAGGAUGGUGGAACCAUAAGAUGUGAUGGCAGAGAUGGGGCUGCCAUCUUGGACCAUGAAGCAACAAGCAUGAAGACAUACAAAGGAUAGUUGAGUGGAAAGAACAAAAAAAGGUAUUGAAGAGUGAAAGAUCAAGAGAGAAUGAUUCCUUGGAAGCGGCAGUUGACAAAGCAAAUUACAGAAUAUACUCAGUGAGAAUCAGAUGAAACACGGGAGAUAAAAGGCUCCGGACCAAGAGGUCCCAGAGAAGCAUUCAGAGGAGAAAGGCUGCAACCAGGAAGUCCACAUACUCACAGCUGCUUCCAGGCCCCGGUGCUCACCCAGUAACAAAGCCACUUCUGUCUGGAAAAACCACAGCAAGGCGAGGCACGAAGCAGAAAGCCUUUAAUUGGGGUGGCGAAUGAGCGGCCCUGUGAACUCCAAAUGCCUCCAGCAGGCUGGGGCACGCUUUUUCUUUCCCUUCCUCUUUGCCCACCCGUUGAUGGCCUCGCUCUCCAGGGCUUCUCAACAGGCAUUGUUGGUCUUUUGGCUUCUUCCCUGCUCUGGGUCCUGAGCCAUCUUUCUGCCUUUUUGCUAUUCCGCCCUGAGCAUGCUAUGGGCCAGUGUCCUGGGUUCUCAGCUCACCCUCUCUCCAUCAAGAUGUUUCUAUCCGGGUUCUACCUCCUCAAACCUUGCCAGGUGACUGGGCAUCUAAACUAAUAAUCCAGUAAUAAAAUCAGUGGUAACUAAAGGCUGAUAGCCAAAUAUGUUAACCCUUUUUAUUAACAUUUCCAGAUUAAUAGUGGCCUUUGGAGCUUCAACUCAGAGGAAUUAUUUAUCCGGGAAAGUUGGGCAGUCGGUGUCCAGAGAUUAGGGACUUUUGGGUUGGACAAUCCCUGGUUCCCAUGAAAUUGCUCCAUGAAAGAACCUUCUGAGCAUAAUUGAGCCAGCCUCAAUGUCCCCAGUUAAAGCUUUUUGGUAUUGAUCCAACCCCACGUUGAUCUCAUCUCCCUCCACACUGAAAGAAUCCAAUCUAUUCUGCACUAUUUUGUGCUUGUUUAUUGGUAAGUUUUCCUAAGACAGGUUGCAUGUAUAUCCCUUUGCUUCCUAAACUGGUCCAUGACCUCCUUGAGGGCUGGCAUCCUGUUGUCAAAUGAAAUGAUAGUUUCCUUUAUUAACUACACAUGUCCUCCUUGACGAGUUUCUGGGGCCUUGACUCACAAUCCUUUGGCUAAGAAACAUGCUCUAGUCAUAAGAUGAAGCGCUGAUGGGAAAGAAGGUAUCAGUCUCUGCCUGUAAGAAAGAGAGCUAGAGAGAGGACAGAGGCAGGGCAAAGAGGCCAAGGACUGAGGUGCUCAGCACUCAGCAAGAGCGGGUUUCUCCGGAGUGGACAACACACUGCGUUUCGGGGUGGUCAGGUACUCACAUGGAAUUUUGGGGACUCAGUCUCCUUGAAACAUUCUUCUUUGCUUAUACUGCCCAAGCUGGGCUCAUAAAAGGGGCAAGUUACUGGGAAAUGACCCAAAUCUGUAAUUCUCAAAAUCUCACGACAUACACAGAGCAGGGUUUUUAGGACACUGUCGACAAAUCCACCUAAAUAGUUUCUGACCUGUGUCUCAUGUUGUCUGGUGAUUUCAAAAUGCCAGAGAGGGUGAAGGGAGAGCUCAGGUAUAAAAAUGGUUAUUUAUCAAUGAGAACAUUUGGACACAGGAAGGGGAACAUCACACACCAGGGCCUGUCGUGGGGUGGGGGGAGGGAGAGGGAUAGCAUUAGGAGAUAUACCUAAUGUAAAUGACGAGUUAAUGGGUGCAGCACACCAACACGGCACAUGUAUACAUAUGUAACAAACCUGCAUGUUGUGAACAUGUACCCUAAAAAUUAAAGUAUAAAAAAAAAUGGUUAUUUACCUGUAAGGAAGGGCUUUCAGUGAAUUAGAAACAAAUAGUAAUGGCAGAUAUAGAAACUACAAUAGAGAGGA